rnacentral:rRNA from 1 species
UAUUGGGCAAUGGGCGCAAGCCUGACCCAGCAACGCCGCGUGAAGGAAGAAGGCCCUCGGGUNGUAAACUUCUUUUAUUCGGGACNNAANNNANGACGGUACCGAAUGAAUAAGCCACGGCUAACUACGUNNNANCNGCCGCGGUAAUACGUAGGUGGCAAGCGUUAUCCGGAUUUACUGGGUGUAAAGGGCGUGUAGGCGGGAGAGCAAGUCAGACGUGAAAUUCCAGGGCUCAACCCUGGAACUGCGUUCGAAACUGUUCUUCUUGAGUGAUGGAGAGGCAGGCGGAAUUCCGUGUGUAGCGGUGAAAUGCGUGGAUAUACGGAGGAACACCAGUGGCGAAGGCGGCCUGCUGGACAUUAACUGACGCUGAGGCGCGAAAGCGUGGGGAGCAAACAG